rnacentral:lncRNA from 1 species
GGAGAAUGAGAAGAGCUUAUUGAUUUCAUCUUCCAGAAUGAAUCAGUAGUACACGGGAGUAGCUUAUUUAUCGAGCUUCAAGUCACUUCUUGUAACAGAAUAACUACUUGCUACUACUAGCGUGUUAAGCUGUAACUUCGCUAACUACUUCUAGCACGUGGCUGUGACAUGAGGAUACAGCAAAAAUAUAGCAUUAUUGGAUUAAUUAUACAAGGCAUAACAUUGCUCCCCCUUAAGAAUCCGAGUCCCUAGGAUUAAAAUCUGGAAAUUGUCCCUUGAGCACAAUCCAAUCUUACCACGUUGCUUCUGCAGGAGACAUGUUCACCCAAUCCGCAGUACUUGAGUGACUGCAGAAUUUCCUCUCUUUAUCAUUCUUCUAUCCAAGGUGGCUUGAGGCCACUUUCACAGUGCCAUCAUCUAUAACUUGAGGCAAACUACCACUCACGGAUACACCCUUAGCAACUUUUUUAACAUAGAUACAUGGAAUACAGGAUGAAUGGGAGCAUCUGCUGGUAACUCCAGUUUAUAAGCUCCAACCUUCUGUAAAAUUUUAGAAGGUCCAUAGUUUUGGAUGAAAGCUUCAGAUUUCUUCUAAGUGCUAUAGAGCUUUGUCUGUAUGGUUGAAGCUUCAAGUACACCCCAUCUCCUACUUCAAAACUUCUCUUAUCUGCAUUCUGCUUCAUCUAUUCUGAGCUACCUCUAGAUUUUCUUUCAACAAUCUAUCCCAAUCUUGUCUUCCCUUCACCCAAUUUGUAGCUAUUGAGGAGUUUUCCGCAGAUGGCAACAAGCUAAUUUGAGGGGAGGAUAACCAUAAAGAGCCAUGAAAGGAGUCAUCUAUAAAGCCGAGUGGUAAUUGGUGUUAUACCACCACUCAGCUGCAGUCAACCUCUGUCUCCAUUUGGUGGUUGCUGGAAGGUCAUGCAUCUUAGAUAGGUCUCUAAGCACCUAUUCAAUCUUUCUAUCUACCCGUCAGACUGUGGAUGGUAAGUAGAUGGUAGGUAUAACUCGGUACCCACCUUUUAAGAAUAAGUCCUGCCAAAAAGCACUAGUAAAAACCUUGUCUCUAUCUGAGACUAUGCUAAGAGGUAGGCCAUGUAGUUUGUAAACAUGAUUAAAGAACAACUGAGCUACAUCUUGAGCUGUGUAAUUGCUGGUAGGGAUAUGAAAUGUCCAUAUUUGGUGAAUCUGUCAAUGACCGCCAUAAUGGUAUCAUGCCCCUUAGAUUUGGGAGCCCUUCUAUAAAAUCCAUGGAGAUAUGCUGCCACGCUUGUUUAGGUAUUAGUAAGGGUUGUAGUAGUCCCAGAUAUUUUCCUAAUUCUGCUUUACUCUUUUUACAAGUGUCACAGCCUGCACCAUUUGUUCCACAUCUCUUUUCAUUCCCAGCCAGUAAAAAUACAGCUUCAUUCUAUGAUAGGUACCACUAUUACCGAAAUGACCACCAACUAGAGAAUCAUGCAUGCAUUCCAUCAGCUUCCUUCUCAAAUCAGUAGCAUCCCCCACAAAAAUUCUACCCUUGAACCUGAUGAUACCAUGGUCAUAAGUAUAAUCUGUAAGAGAGUCUCCAUUAGUGGACAGAUUUCAACAAUUCCUUAGCUUUAGCAUCUCCAUUGUCGCUUUGAGUAACUUCCUGGAGCCAUGCAGGCGUCACUAUUGAUAUUGCAUUCAAUUCAUUUUGCUCAUUUUCACCCCUUCUGGACAAGGCAUCAGCAACAAUAGUGUCCCUUCCUUUCUUGUAUUGAAUCUCAUAAUCCAUUCCCAUCAGUUUAGAGAGCCAUUUUUGUUGUAAGGGAGUAGUGAUUCUCUGGUCUAGCAGAUACUUGAGACUUUCAUGGUCAGUCUUAAUUACAAUAUGUGCUCCCAUCAAGUAAUGCCUCCACUUGGUCACUGCUACAAUUAGGGAUAGUAGCUCCUUCUCAUAUAUUGACAUCCCUAGAUUUUUAUUUGCUAGUACCUGACUCAUAUAUGCUAUUGGUCUUCCUUGUUGUAUCAACACAGCUCCUAGAGCUUUGGCUGGCAUUAGUCUCUAGGAUAAAGGUUUAGUAAAGUCCGGUAAUGCUAAUAUAGAACUCAUGACCUAUUUCAACUAGUAGAAAGCAUUCUCAGCUUCUGUACUCCACCAAAGGAAUCCUUUUCUAACAAAUCAGUCAAAGGUUUAGCUAUCAACCCAUAGCUCUUAACAAACCUUUGAUAAUACCUGGUCAACCCAAGAAAACCCCUUAAUGCUUUAACAACUCAGGACGUGGCUAGGAUACCAUGCUCUGUACCUUUGCGGGAUCAGUUACCACUCCGUCCUUGGUGACAAUGUGUCCCAAGUACUCAACCUAUGGCUAACCAAAAGUGCAUUUGGAGAGUUUGGCAUAAAGUUUAUGAUGUCUGAGAGUAUCCAGAACUUGUUUAAGGUGAAUAAGGUGGGUAGUCAAAUAUGGGCUAUAUACUAAGAUAUCAUCAAAGAAGACUAAUACGAAUUUUCUGAGAAAUUGAAUUCAUGAGUGCUUGAAAGGUUGCCGGGGCAUUAGUAAGCCCAAAUGGCAUAACGAGAAUUCAUACAAUCCAGUGUGAGCUCGAAAGACUGUUUUAGGUAUAUGAUUGGGAUGCAUUCUAAUCUGGUGAUAACCAGAUCUGAGAUCAAUUUUGGAAAAUAUUUUGGAACCAUGAAGCUCGUACAAGAGAUCAUCAAUGAUAGGGAUAGGAAAUUUGUCCUUAAUGGUGAUUUCUUUAGCUGUCUAUAAUCAAUACAAAACCUUCAGGUUUCAUCUUUUUUUCUAACUAGCAGGACGGGUGAAGCGAAAGGGCUAUGACUAGGCUGAAUAAUGCCAUUAAUAGAAUUUCUUGAACUUGUUUCUCAAUUUCAUUCUUCUAAAUGUGGGGAUAUCUAUAAGGAAUCAACUUGAAAGGUUUAGAAUCUGGUUUAAGGGGUAUCUCGUGAUCUAAUUGUCUAAUAGGGGGUAGGUGGAGAGUUCUCCAAACACAUCAGUACAAUAAGCCAGGAGUGCACUUAUGGAGUCAUCAGUGUGAGACGUUACCUUAGGAGUGUUAACUGCUAGAACACAGGGCUGUGUAGAGUUUCUUUCUUCUUGUAUCUCAUAAACUUUUGGACAGUUUUUCCUUCCUCAGUUUGAUGUCUGCCUUCUUAAAUCUCCUUGUAGCUUUAUUUCCCACCCCUCCUGAUUAAAGGAGAAUUGCAGAUGCUUGAAAUCAAAAGUUAUAGGACUAUGCUCUCUCAUCCAAUUAACCACCAAUACCAUAUCGUACGGCUCAAUUGCAAGCACAUAUCCAUCAUGAGUGAAUGUAUGCCCUUGUAUUUCUAAGGAUGAUCCGUGGAACCCAGCUACUACACUGUAGCAUCUGCCCAUUAGCCACUUGACUGCGAACAAUUUCCUUGGUACUACUAAUUGAGGAUUUUCCUCGAACACUGAAGCUUCAACAAAAGUGUGAGAACUUCCUCCAUCCCAAAAUAUUGAGAGUGGUUUGCCAUUAAAUUUCCCUUCAGUUUGAUAGUACCCUGCAGCAGCUCGCCAAUCAUAAAGUGGAUGGAAAAUACUACAUCUUUAUGACUAUUGGAAAGAGUUCGAUCGUACAUAGGUUGGCAAACAUGGCUGGCAUGAAAAAGUGAUACAGUAUAUGAAAUUUGACUUCAAAAGCUUGCCCUUGCUCUUUCACGGAUACGGGGCAGGGACGGUCAUCAGAAGGACCGUCCCUGAACAGUUCCCUAACAAACUCUAAUAAGAGGCCCUUAUGCAUCCAUGUUGAUAUAAAUAAAAUGCUCCCGUUUCACUUAGUGAGCAUAAAAAAAUUUAAAAAAAACUUGCCUUAGCCUAAUAGAUUCCACUACUGUCGAAACUUCGUUCCAAAAAAAUCCCGCCCAAAUUGAUUGGGCAUGACUAUCCAUUAAAACUCAAAGCCUAAUGCUCUCCCUCCAAAAAUCAAUCUCUUACUUUCCAUCCAAAAUUUGUCAAUAUAACUCCAUAACUCUAGAACUAGAGCAAAAUAACAUUCAAGAACAAGAAAAUUGCAGACGAGAGUGCCAAAGAAGAGCCAUGGAAAUGUACUAUCACCCAUCAAUCAUUACACUGAGGAGAAGAAGAACUACUUGCUGAAGGAAAAGGUGUUGGAGAUCUGAUAGUAGAAGGUGGUAGGAUUUGAGACAGAGAAACACCCAAUUGCAUCUGCAUAAACCCUUCAGGUAACAAUGUUGCAAACCAAUGACUUAAUUUCAUUUUUUGGUGAAUGGUGUCCAUCUAUUGUACUUGUAGUCUCAUGAAACCCUUUGAAUAGUAGAAGUUAAUUAGUUGAUGGACUGCACAAGAGAGGAGGGUAAAGAAAAAUUUUGCAUGCCAAAUGUUUGCAAAAUAGAAAAAAAAACUUUCAAACCAAUUAGUAGAAAGAGUUAUUACUAGGGGAUGUAUAUGAGAGUAUUUGUCUAGCAAUAACAACAUCAGAUCAACAAUAAAGUCAAGGUUAUAAAGAAACAAAAAAUUUCAAGUUAUAUUUUUCAUUUGUGUCGGUUGUAGGGACAUGUAAUGGUGUAGAUAGAAUUACUGGUGUUUAUGGGUAAUUACAACGAAAUAAAAUAGGAAGUACAUUAAGAAUAAUAGCAAGCAAAGUGAAUGAUUAUAAUGAAUUAUAAGAUGUUCCAGUGAGUAUGCCUUUACAUCAAUACUGGAUAGCAAAAUAAUAUUUGUAAUUAACUGGUGAUAGUGGAGAAACACUUUCAUGCAGUUGGAAAUUAAUAAUCACUUACACUAAAAUGUUCAAUUUGCUUAAAAAAGUCACAAUGAAGGGAAAAAGAAGGAAUAGAGGCCAACAAAAAGAGGAAAAUGCACACAUUAUUAACAUUAAUGAGUGGUAUUUCAUGUUUGAAGAUUAGUACUUAUUCAUAUAAGAACUGUCUAGUAAUUGAAGUGAAUUACUUUAAACUUAAUUGGUAUGAGUAUUUAAAAUCAUUUAUAUAUAUUAGAUUGAAUGUACAUACGGUUCAGUAUGCCUUAUGUAGUGCAAAAAUAUAAUUAUAAGAUGUCUUAGUAGUGUGCCUGUACAUCAUAUUAGAUAACUAUUAUUUUUUAUGAAUAAACAGUGACCGUGGAGAAAUACUUUCAUAUAGUUGUAAAUUAAUAAUCAAUUAAAAUAAUGCCCUGUUAAAGAAAGGUGUGAAGGUUUGACAAUAAAGGAAAAAAAAUAAAAGGAAAUGCACGCAUCAAAUAAUAAUGGUGGUCCCUGUUUCUUGUGGAUUGCUUCAAAGUUGAUUGGUAUUAAUGUAAAUUCUAAUUUUUAUGUGUUAGGUUGAAUGUACAUAUUGUUCAAUAUGCCUUACUUACUGGUAGAAAAUGGUUACAAGAUGGUUUAGUUAAUAUGCCUAUACAUCAUAUUGGAUAAGUAUUGUUAUUGGUGAACAAUUAGUGACAAUCGACAAAUACUUUUAUGUGGUUGUAAUUCAGCAAUGAAGUAACAGGAUGAUGUUGAAGCAAGAUCUACGGGAUUUAUAAUGAAAGGAAAAGAAAUAUAAGGAAGAGAAGCGAGGUGAAGUGUACACACUAUUAAUUUGACAAUUUAUUAUCGCAUGUUUGUUACUUGGUACUUAUUUGUACAUUCCUAGUCUAUGGGAUUAAGCUUGAUUGGAUAAGUGUAGGAUGUAAUAUGUAUGUAUUAGGC